rnacentral:lncRNA from 1 species
UUUAAAUUAAAUAAUCAAUAUUUACAUUUUCGAAUGGAACAAUAUAUAAUAUUUACGUACCAUUAUUGAUUUCAUACAAAUUGCAUGCUAAGUUCUUCCUCUAAUUUCAGGAUUGGUUGAUUCUAUCAUCCUUAUGUAUUAUACUCAAAAGUUCAAUAUACCUAAUUACGAACAACAGCAAUCGCCAAUUCAAUUAAAAACAACGUGUUAGUUCAAUAACUAAAAACUAAGUUUUCAAAUUAAAAAAUUUAUAAAUACUUACGAUUUCUAUCGUCUCAUCAUCGUCAUGUCCCACACGAUAACUAGUUUGUCACACAAAUCACUUCCGGGCAGAUAUGAUUUCAUUUCUAAGAUCUAAAAAACUAAUACUAUACUGGGCUCAAUCGACACAGAGACCGCAUGGUAAGCAAAUAAAAUAGGAGGAGAGGUUAGGAAUAUGGGUGUGGGAGGCUGUAGGACGACCACGAUGAGUAUGUAGGUCCAGGCUAUAUAGGAUCAAACGGUUACUUUUGUUUGAUUGAGGAGCGGAGAUAGAUAGAUAUGAGCUGACAACUUAUGUUUCUUGGUAUUUUGGGUAAGAUGUACACCAAAAGGAAUUGACGCCACAAACACUUUUAACCCAAUCAAAAGCGAGAGGAGAAGUUUGGGUCUGGUGAAGACGAACUCCCUACAUUAAAACAUUUGGCCUUGCUUGCUUAUUAUGUGGUAAUUGUCUAUCAAAUGAACGAUUAUAGGCACUGGCUCUAAUAUAUGCUCGACCUGACCCUGUGUCCAACAGGUAUGAUCAGAGUCGUACACGUAUAUAGUGGAAUCAAGAAAGACAAUCUCCACAGCAAAGCAGUGAUAAUUAGUGAUCACUAGAAUGUACAUAUGCAUUCGACUUGCCCCAUGAUUUUUUCCCGAUACUCGAUCUCAUCCUUGUGAUCCACCCGAGCAUAUAUUUAGGCAACCUGUACUCAUUCCCCAUAAGUUGAAGCGAUUGAUGCACAAUGUUAAUGGCAUGUAGGGACUCGAUGCUCAAAAUGACUCGGCCUGGAACGUCAAAUGAUCUUAGAUAUCUUCGAGCCUGAUUGCACAAUAGGUCCAAAGUCAGGUUGAUGUGCUACAACAUGAAACACCAAUAAAAAAGAGAGAGUUAU